ACGUGGGCAACCUGCCUAUAAGACUGGGAUAACUUCGGGAAACCGGAGCUAAUACCGGAUACGUUCUUUUCUCGCAUGAGAGAAGAUGGAAAGACGGUUUACGCUGUCACUUAUAGAUGGGCCCGCGGCGCAUUAGCUAGUUGGUGAGGUAAUGGCUCACCAAGGCGACGAUGCGUAGCCGACCUGAGAGGGUGAUCGGCCACACUGGGACUGAGACACGGCCCAGACUCCUACGGGAGGCAGCAGUAGGGAAUCUUCCGCAAUGGACGAAAGUCUGACGGAGCAACGCCGCGUGAACGAAGAAGGCCUUCGGGUCGUAAAGUUCUGUUGUUAGGGAAGAACAAGUACCAGAGUAACUGCUGGUACCUUGACGGUACCUAACCAGAAAGCCACGGCUAACUACGUGCCAGCAGCCGCGGUAAUACGUAGGUGGCAAGCGUUGUCCGGAAUUAUUGGGCGUAAAGCGCGCGCAGGUGGUUCCUUAAGUCUGAUGUGAAAGCCCACGGCUCAACCGUGGAGGGUCAUUGGAAACUGGGGAACUUGAGUGCAGAAGAGGAAAGUGGAAUUCCAAGUGUAGCGGUGAAAUGCGUAGAGAUUUGGAGGAACACCAGUGGCGAGGCGACUUUCUGGUCUGUAACUGACACUGAGGCGCGAAA
rnacentral:rRNA from 1 species